rnacentral:ncRNA from 2 species
ACUUGCCGCGCCGCGACAGGUUCCCCGCGAGGGGAUUGAAAGGGAACGCGGGUGAGAUACCCGGGCUGCCCCUGCAACUGUAAGCGGAGAGCCGUUCUGCCACAUGCCAUUGGGGGUGCAAGCCCCUGAGAAGGCGGCCGAAAUCGGCGAUGACCCGUGAGCCAGGAGACCUGCCCGUCGCCGUCGUUCUUC